GGCGGCACGCGCCGGGGUCGGGAGUGGAACCGCUGAGGGCUGCGAUGAGCCCGCCCGCGUGUGGGCGCGCCGGGUGGGAGAGGAGCGCCCCCCAGCGGGCGCGGGCGCGAGGGCAGCCGGCGCGCGGGGCGAGCCAGCGCAGGGUCGCGGCGGCCGGGUUGCUGGGCGCGUGCGCGCGCGGCGGGGCGGGGCCUGCGCGGCUCCGGGUAGGCGCACGUGGUGCCCAGGAGCCGCUGGCCUGGCAUUCGCCGCGGGGACUCGGUGCGGAGUCGGGGCGCCAAGCGUCUCCGCUCCCCGUGCCCCAGCUGGCGGCCGCGACGGCGGAGCUUGACCUCUCACUCUCUCCUGCCUCCCGCAGCGACUGCCCCGCCGGCCGCGGGGGUCAGAUCCAGCGGUCCUUCAUUCAUUUCUUCAUUUGUUCACUUAUUCAGGAGAGAUCAUUGAACCGGUACGGAAUACCGGGUACUGAGCUGGGUGCUGAGGACGCGGGGCUGAGCAAAAGCAGCCGAGGCUAGCCUUCGUGCCCCUUAAAAUCCAGCGUGCGGGGCGGUAACAAGUACUGCUUUUCUAUUUUGCACUUAAAAUUUACAUUUUGUAUUCAUACUUUUUAUUUACUGUGCACCCUUAAGGCGUGCUUUAUUCGCACGUACCUGCACAGCCUUUCCUUGAGUGUAGACACCAGAUCCUGAGAUUUAUGGGCAAUUUUUUGAGAAUAAUUUUUACCCUAAGUGGAUUUUCGCCCCAAGUAUGGACUUGGAACUACACACACCUAGUCAAAAACGUGAAAGUCAAAAUGCAGCUUCGCCAAGUUUCGGGGAGAGUGGAGAGCUGCCGAGAUUGGGAGAGGAAGGGCGCGCUCCAGGCGUUCCAGCCCGGGUGCGGGAGAUACCAGCCCUGAAGGGUGAACGCGGGCGGGUAACCUGGCAGCGGGAGGGCGGGCGGACCUGUCAGUCAAGUCCAAAGCAGAAGCGCGGCUCCGGACCCCAGGCUGAGGCUGGCUAGAACGCUGCCCACCGACUCUAGGCGCUCGGGUCCCCGCCGGGCGACCUUGAACCUGGCGUGCUCGGUGAAGCCAGCACAGCCUCGGGAGCUGUAGAGACGCGGGACACAGGCAGAGCGUUCCUGCCCUCGGCCUAGGGGCUCGCCUCUGGCCCGGCUGGCCAUUCCCAGAGCACGCUGUCCCCCAGCUUUGGGAUCGCCAGCAGCCACGUCUAUGCUUCUAGAUCUCUUUUUUUUUUUUUUUUUUUUUGAGAUUUCAUUGAUAGCUGUUUAAGGAAUUAUAUGGAGGAAAUCUCUCCUCCGACCCCUGCCUCGGUUGUGAGCCCUGCCGGGUCGCUGGAUGGGCCAGGAGGAAAGGAAGGGGCGGGCAAGAAACAGCAAUUUUACUUUGAAUUUAAAUGACACAAAAAUAUUUUUUUCAACUCACAUUUUUCUGAGACAUCCCCAGAAAGCGUUGCCAGCUGUGAUUACAUCUAAUGUGAGAGCAGGAACUAAUUUAAGAGGUGAGAGCUGAAUAAUGAGACUGCAUCCUGGGUAGCGGCCAAGACUGGCAGCUCUGGCCGCGCGCUGAAGGGGACCGUGAGGGGCACCCUUAUAGAACCAGCCCCUGGCGCCCUGGGGGCUUCUCAGUGCCCUGGUGCUGCGUUUUCCAUCACUCCAAGGUAUUUACUGGGUACCUCCUGAAUGUUGGGUUGCAAUCAAGAGCAAGAGAUGGGGGCAGUGAAAGAACCUGUUUUCAGGAGCUCACAAGCAGCGUUACAAUUACCCAGAGGGAGGUGGUGGCCAGCCUCCUCCUCAGCACUUCAUGCUGGCGCUCGGGUGGGCAUUGCCCAAGCCUGAACUGCCAUCUAUAUGCCAGUGGUUACCCAUCUCGUAUUUUCAGUCUUAGCCUCUCUGGUUCAGACUUGUCAUUCUAAGGGCCCUGUUUCACUGACUCGCAGUCUCCUCCCUCCCUGCCUUGCAAACCCAGCCCCUUCCUUUUUCCCUGUCGCACUGACAACAGCUGCACCCAUGCAGAGGUGAAAACUCUAAAGAACUCCAUGUCUAACCUAACUCCCUCUCUGUGUCCUGUUGCUUGAGCCAUUCUCAUUAGGCUGCCAGAGUUCAUCUCCUAAUUUUUCAUCCAGGAAUUGGUGAAAUAUCACCUCCUGGCUCUCCCAUACUGUUUAUUCUUUCAUUUGAUGAUAUCUGUUAAGUGCCCUGAGUAACUUCCACUUCCCUCCCAUAUAAGUGAGAUUUCACAUUGAUUACUCCUUUGGCUUUCCCUGUCCCUUGUCCACAUAGUAUGUGUUCAAAAUAAUGAAUGUUAAUAGACACGUGAUUUUCUGAACUGUGAGGAUUAAAUGAAAUCCUGUAUAUAGGAAGGAAAAUCCAUUAGAAACCUUAAAAGCAGUCAUGUUCGUUUUUGCUAUUGUCACAUCGUUAGAGUCCGAAUUCUUUUAGCUAGCUGCAAGUGACAAAACCAACUUAAACUGGCUUAAGGACUUUAUUUGGUUGAUGCAAAAAGCCUCAAGUUAGGUCCUGCCAUUUAAGGUAGGGCUGUAUCUCUGGAUCUAUCAAUCAAGGUUACCAGGGUAAGUUUCACAGUUGUGGCUCCAUUUUCAGACAAGUUGUUUUGAUAUGAUAGCCUCGUAGAACGUACUACCAGCUUAGUCCUAGCAAGAAAGAAGAAUACAUAUUCUUCAAUAUUUGCAGCUGAAGUCCCAGGUCUGUUCUUCCGAGGGCGGUUUAAGUCGCUUGCUCUUCUCUAAACAUGGAGAAGAGACUAUUUAGAUGAUCGAGGUUGGAUUCAGGUGCAUCCCCUGGAAUGGGGUUUGGCAUUAGCUUCACGUGGCCUAGAACAAAGGGGUUCUCCAAAGGAAAAUUAGGGCAGGGAUGCCGAGCAAGCGGAACCAGCAGAUGUCUCCUUUAGUCCUUCCCAAAGGGAGAGCUGCAAUGCAUUGCAGACUAUCAGAAUGGUGAUAAAAACAGAUACAGUAGUCAAGACAAUAGAUGUGUGACAAUAGAUGUUUUUUUUCGGUCUUCAAGACCACAGCUAAGCAUCACUAUGAUGUUAUUUGAGGUUUAGCUUUGAAGUGGAAAUGUACCUCAAACAGUAGAGCCAGAUAAAUAUAAAUAAAUAAUUGUAACAGUCUAUUCCAAAAGAUUUCUUUGGUAAUAUUCUGUUGGAAUUGAUUUCUAUCUCUUCAUUUGUUAGGUUCCUGAUAAGGUGGAAAUUUCAUUUCUUUGUGGAAAGGUACCUAAAAUUUCUCAUUAUUUACCAAUUAAUGAAAACAAAUGAAAAUUUGAGAAAGAGAUUCUGAAGAAUAAAAGGAUCAAGUUGGGUCAUUUCUAAAAUGUGAGACUAUAAGGUUUAACUUGCUAAGGCUUUUGAGGGGUUGAAUUAUUGGUAAAUAAUUAUAGAACCACUUCUCUGAGGCUUUUAAAGUGAUGUGUUACAGAGAUUUAGGAAACUGUAAGAUUGCAGAUAAAGAAUUUAUACUGUUACUGUGUUUAUACUUUACCUGCUGCUUUAAAUGUGGCCUCCUAUUUUAAAGUCAAAGGUUUAUUUUCUCUCACUGCGUUCUAAAUUUCCUACCACAGUGCAAUUUGAGAAAUGAAUAUAACAGCAAUCUUGCUAGAUGCCAUAUUCGUGGCAACCCUGUCCACCCCACACUCUCCACACCACACCCUGGAAAAAACCAACCCUCUAUUGUUGGAACGAGAGAACAUUUUUAGGAAAGGGAACCAUUUUCUCACAGGAUAUAGAAUGAAUUUAUCCUUUUAUUAAUUCAAAAUGGAUUUUCUAAUGUUUAUACAUAUCAAACAGGAUUUCAUCUCUUUCAGUCUUGUUUCAAAAGCCCAGACAGUACCAUUCCCGGGUAUUUAGUCCAUUUGCUCAUAAAGCAGAAGAGAAAGGCUACGUUGUUAUGAAGAGUGUUAGAUUUAGGAUUUCAAGAUUCAAGAUUAUUUCAAAUUAAUGCCUAAACUAGACUAUAAAGUGUAGGAAUGAUUCCAGGCUGUCCGAAGAUUAAAGAGUAUUUUAACUUUCACCAAAACCUUUAUCUUCUGGAUGUAUUUUUUUUUUUUUUUGCCUGUUCAAAUUCUUUUUAAAUACAACAUUUUUGCUGUUUACAUUUUUAAAAGUUACAGUUCAAAAUAGUUUGUAAUUGGACACUUUAAUAAGAUGCAGGAAAACACAGUUUUACUUUUUAAUGAAGGACAGGUCUGUUGAUAACAUUUUUAUUCUUAAAUUUUUUUAUCUUAUAGAAAUGAAACAAUAUAUUUAAAGUGUCUUCAGCUCUUCUGUUAUUACCAAAUUAUGCAUUUUCUUAGCCCAUGUUCAGGAGAGACUAUAUAUAUUCUAAAUUAAGAGCUACUGGCACCAUUUUUAAAACAAGGCCUUGAAUCUGCUGUGGCAUGUGCUGGUAGAAAUUUUGUAUGAAGCUAUUAUUGAAGUAGAUGAUAUUAAGGUCAAAGAAAAAAAACAGAAAAUAAUGUAACCCUACAGAGCUGUUCCUGAGAGAAAACCACAUAGGUAACAUCAAACACUAGCUGGAAUCUUUCCAACAAGUAAUUAUCUGUGUGCUGUUUGCAGUGGUUGAUUAUGGGGACAAACCAAGGUUUAGCCAAUUCAGCAAACAUCUAUGGAGUACCUGCAUGUACCCGACGCCGUUUUAGGACCUGGGCCUACAGUAAAGAUGACCCACACGAUGCCUGGCCUGCAGGGCUUGGUGUUGAGCGAUAAGAAGAGACGCAUACCUGACAAGCCUAUUUAAGACUCUUCUGGUUCUACAAAGAAGGCUUCUUGAAAAUGGUACCCAGCUUGCAGGAGUGCCAGAGUUAGAGUCCCAAGGUGUUCUUCAUGACCACAUGCUUGAUCCAGGCCUAUCAGGUGAGUUGGCUCUUUCUGGUGGUUUUUCUUCUCUUGCUGUACAAUAUUUCAGACAAUAAUGUCUGUCAUUUAUUUUUAUAGAUAUAGUCCACUGAAAGUCCUCAUUCUCAAAUUUAAAACAAAGACUCUUCGUGUACCUCAAUAGCAGUGUACACACAGUUGACACAGCUUCACAAACAUACCAUACAUUUCUCUUUUUUUCUAUAUAUAUUCAACAAAUGUAUUUUGACUACCCACCAUGUGACAGAUAUUUUUUGUUGGUGGAACCAGGUAUCAUCAGCAAACAACUGACCAAGCUUCUUGCCUUCUGUGGAAGGCGUCUGAGGAAGAGACCGGGUUUCAUAGCAACAUGUGAUUCUCAUUAUAAACUUUAUCACUGGAAUACUAAAGCCAGAUCAUCCCCAUCUCCUUGGUCAGGGUACCCACCUAAUCCAGGCUGCUACACAAUUGUGAAAGCCUUUGUUUGUUCUGCUGAAGCAUCCUUAAAAAGAUAACUCACAACUCAAUAUUUGGCUUUUCUUAAAUAUGAUUUUUAAUUUUUAAAAUUUCUAUCUAGAGAUUUAAUUGGAAAAUUAAAUCUUUAGGGAUUUUGAAUUUGGCUGCCUGUAAAUUAAAGGUGAAGGUAAUCAUUGUGUUGCAUUAGUACAUUUUGUCAACUGAGAGUGGUUUCCUUUUUCUUAGUGUAGGAAAAGUUUAUUUUUCCAAUGUAGAGUAAUAAAGGAGGUAAAGAAAAACAAAAUCAAUGAUUUACAUGGAUGAGAAAAGAAACUUUUCCUCAAGGAUUAAGGAAAAUUCAUACCUUUUAUGUCUUGAAAAGUUUUUAAUUUUAAUGUGCCCUUUAAAUAUUUUUAAAAAUAUGUCCUAUUUUAAAAUGUACUCUCUGAGAGAAGGAAUUGAUACCUGCAUUUAAAAUCAAAAAUAGCAUGCAUAGAGACUGUUUUUCUAGUUGGUUGAAGCUUUUUCCCUCCCUCCUUUACAUCAGUGAACCAGCAUCUUGCCGGUCAGACCCUACAGCACACUUGGGCUCAUGAAGUGUCUGACACAUCCUCUUUGGAGGAUCUACCAUGCCCCUGCUCCCAUGACUACAUGAAUUCUUCUGUAUGUCUUUUCUCACAGCUGAGUACUCUCUUCCUGACCCCCGUGUGGAGUGGGGAAAGGAGGCUCUGACAUUGUGCUUGUGCGAACAUAACUGAAAGCUUUCCGAGUCUCCUGCAUCUUCAUAGAUGAUUUUUUAUUUUAUGCUGGGACAGUAGUUUUUUAAAUAGAAUAUUUUCCCAUGGAAAUCACCCACAAUGCUGAGAGUACACCUUGCAAAAGGUAAGUCUAGAAUAUGGGGUGCCUCCUCAGCAUGGCUCAGAAGCUGAAGUUAGGACUCUCUGGAAUACCAAAAACAAAUUUAUAGCAGUUCAUUAGUGUAAUAAAUUAUAAAAACUGUGUGGCGCCAUUACCCAUAGAUGAAACAAAGAGCCACCACGCAAGCACAGACCCAAAGCCCUGAAGAGGAAACCCUUGAUGGGGCUCUCAUUUAUUUUGUGGAAACCCACUUGCCUGUUUUGAACCAGUUUUCUUUAAAGCAUAUGUCUCACUGUGCAAAGAAAAUGGUGUAUAUAUCCUAGUCACUUGGCAAAAAUUCUGUCAUUCCUUCAGGGAGAUCCAUUUUCGGCCUGAAGCAUGGAGCUGGUAAUAGAUGGGAUUUAAACUUCCAAAAGAAAGACCCUACUGCAAAUUUAGAGAGUUAUUUUUUUCUUUUGUUCCCCAUAAUAUUGUUGCUAGAUGGGACUACCUUUUUUGCCUAGAGGUUAAAUAUAGAGGCCUAAAUCAGUUUACUCCCACUCAUUCUAAAUGAGAACAUGUUUGUUUCUGUUCAAUGAGAUGAGAAUAUUUGGGGUGCUUCAUGAUAUCUCCAUCACUCACUGCAUUUUUCCAUUUGAUGUAUAUUUCCCUAAGUAUUUAAUUUUCAAAUGCCCUUUAAAAAUCCAUUUGAUAUUAAAUGUAAAAAAAAGCAAGAUGCAAAAUUAUUAUAGGCUGCAUUUACAGAAAUUAUAAAAUGUAUAAACUAUGGAGGGAAAUUUGUAGAGUAUAUGUAAACACAUUGCUUUAUUAUUUUCCUUGGUUAUGAGUAUAGUUUUUGAAACCUGCUUUGUAGUUUUGGUGUUUUCUCACCAUUGGCACCGUCGAGGCAUUUUUCCCUCUUUUUCAGCCUUGCAAAUCACAUGUGAGGAAGCUCGUAGAGUGCCUCUAAGACAGGCUGUUCCUUUGCUUUCACCAAUACAUCAUUCAUCAUUAGAACUAGAAAACUUUUCUUCCCAGUGCAAGUACAUUCCUUUCAAAAUCACUUCUCUUUUUUGUGAAUGAUGUCUAGUGUCUAAGAAAUUAGGUAACCUUUAUUAUGUACGUUGCUCUAAUCAAAGCAUCAUUUUGUGAGGUGAACUCAAGGUUACAUGUUUAAGAAAAGCAUCGGGUUAAUUCCAUUAGAAAAACUGUCUUAUUGAUAAACCUUUAACCAUUGGAAAGACACCAUUAGGAGGCCACACAGGUGUGUAUAGCUGGAUAGAAUUUGACAACUGACAAAAAACAAUAGCCUACUUUUGCAGAGUGCGGUCUUUUUAAGAACCAACAUAUCUUUCACCAACAAAUAUGUAUUUACCUCAACAUGAGACUUUCAUGUGGUUAUUAAUAUCACAUUUUUGAAUGUCCAAACUUUGGGGUGUAAUCCAGCAGAGGUAAACUUAUUUGCCUAAGGUCUUUCAACUGACAGAGGUAGAAUUAUUUUCUAUCCCCUGGCUCUAAAAACCUGUCCGGAUUCUCCUGCAACCCCAUCCUUCAAAAAGACACUUCCACUGAUUCCAAUGAUGGUGAUGUCAUGCUUUAGCAAGUAGUUAGCUGUGACUUAACUUUAAAUAUGGAAUCUUUAUUUUACUAUUAAGCAAUGAGGUUUAGUUUGAAAAUUCUUAAAGAUGAUAAAUGCCUCUCCUUUUUUUCUUCUUCUCUUUUGUCCUGAACGAUGUUCCAUAUGUAUUACUGCCAGAAACAGAUUCUUGACGUUCCCGUUAAGCUUCUCCACACCUUGUAAUCAUUUCUGCAGCUGUUAGCAUUGCCAACAAUUAUAUUUCCACUUUUAAAAAAUUGUUACAAAGAUGCAGAGAGAAAAGAGGAACGCCAAGGAAUAAGCCACAAGCAAUUACGGGAUAUUUUUGUGAUGUGACGUUUUGGGAACUGAGGGGUAAUGCGUCACUGAUACUGCACUACCUUUUCAUAUCUAGGUUUUAAUCUUUUGUAUGAAGAUAAAAUUCACGUGCCUUAAACCUGACCAUGACGUAGUAAUAGGCAUUUAUUUUUUUAAUUUUCAUACCAUCCACGUUUUAACUAUGAGAAGAGUGCAUAUGUUGUAUGAUGGUGCCAAGAAGUAGAUGUGUACAAUUUACUAAUACAUCCUUUGGAAAAUGUGUGUUAAUAACAUGCUAAGGAGUAAACUGACGGUGUGCAAAGGGAGCCCAUGAGUUUGAAUAAAUGGAUUGUACACCUUGCUCUUCCCAAUUGGAGAUUUAACAGGAUUUGAUGACCUAAUGAGUUUAUUUCUGAAUGAUUUAUAUUUCUUUGUCAGUUCAGUGAGUUAGUAUUUUAAAUAUUUUUAAAUCCCAUUUUAUUGAGAUAUGGUAUUACUGUUUCUUUCCCAUCACCUAACAGAAAGUUAAGCUACUCCUCUCCCACCCAACUUUUGUUCCUACCAAUAUUUUUUUUACAGUUAGAAGCUGAUUGGCUUGACAUGUCUUAGGAUAUCACCCAAGGACAGCUUCAUUUUAUAAAUACCAACCUCAUUUUCCUGAAUGUUUUCAAAAAGAUGGAAUUUAUCCUCAUAUGGUAUAUUCAGAUUUGUAAUUUUAGAAAGGGUCAUGUGAACAUGGUAUUACACAGCUAUGGAAGUCUGUCAGAGAUCUUGUUUUGGGAUAGAAGGACUCAGACAUCCAAACUUUUAAACUAAUAAAAUUAUUAAAUUUUAAGACUUUGUAACAAUGUUAAUUUGAGAUGUAUAAUAUUUUGCUUAAGGUAUGCUUUGCUUUGCAAAAUGUGUCUGCUUCAUUUUCACAUUAUGUUGGAAGCUUAACAUGAAAGAACAUGGUUGAGAGGAGACCACAGGUAAGCAUACUGUAACAAAAGUUAGUGCCAUCAUGUUUGUGUCUUUGCCUGUGGUUUUUUAAGUGUAUAAUGCUUAAUGUUGAUUUGGCCAUCAAAUUCAGUUUUCUUUUGUUAAAAAAAUUUCUGUAAAUUAGAAAUGUACUGAAUCCUUUAUUUAGCAGACCAAAGAUGGGUAACGAUGGCUGAUCAGGUUUAAACCACAGUAAUUUGAAAAUGAAAAUACCUAAAUAAUGUCCUUUCUCUUCCACUCAAUGUUUCUUUACCAAAUAAAGUCCAGUCUGCUCUGAAUUUGUUGCCAAUAGGAGCAAUUUUAUAGUGAAUCAUGGUUUAAUAUACCUUGAAAAUGGCACAUCUGUUCUGUGAUAGCAUACUGGUUUUAGCCUCUUUGUAAAAUACGAAGAAGAGUUUGUCAACCAGAAUAAUCUGGAACCUGGCAAUUGAAAUACCAUUCAAAGCAAAUGUUUUAUCUAGUAACUAGAACUAACUGUUAGGCCUCAUGACAGUUCAACGUUUACUAAACAACUUUAGUAACAGGGUAAGCCCUCUGUAUCCAGAGCAGAGACUAGAACACCACAUUUACCUAUACGAAUUCUGCCUUUAGCUAUCUGAAAGGGCCCAGAACUAUUGCGGCAAGCAAAGAGUCUUUGUAAUAUCCUAAAAUCCAUAUAGUACUCUGUAUUUUAUACAUUUUAAUAGCUAGUCUAACAAAUAACAAGUACCGUGCUUCAUUCUCUGCAUGCAUUAUUACAAUUAAUCAUUGAGAUAAUCUUACAAAGUAAGUACUUUUGUCUUGGCCUACAGGUAAGAAAACAAAAGUUAAAUAGAUCGCCCAGGGCCUUGCUGGAACGUGCUGAGCAGGGAUUUCAGCCUGUUCAGUCAGACCCUGGAAGCUGUGUUCUUAACCAUUAGCAGCGCAUUGUCCCAGACAUGCCCUACGUGAUGAGCCUCAUAACCAGUUUUAUGAUGGAUAGUAUUAUCCCCAUUUCACAGAUGGCAAAACUGAAGUCCAGAGACUUUAAGUGACCUACCCAAAAUUAUAGUCAUGAGCAGUGGCACUGGGAUGUAGGGUCUUGGCACUCUACCUCUCGUGGUCCUCUUUCUUGUUUGGAAUAGGUCUCCACUACCACUACUCGGUUCCCUGCUGAUGCUGGAAAGGAUGUAUUUUAUGCAUUUCUGUUUCUAGCUUGGAACAAAACACUCUGUGGGUCUCUGCUUGAUCAGUGACCCCUCCAAACUGCACCCCACUACAGCAGGAUGGCAUAAGAUGCUUCGAUACACAGCAUCUUUUUGUUCCCACCUCACCCCGGAGUUGUAAUAGGUAGAGCAGGCCAAGUGUAAAAGAGAUGAUUUGUCUCGGUCACCACUAGUUUCCCUUUUCUCGGCCUUGUAUUUAACGGGAAUAUUCUUUAGUUCCCCUUAUGUUCUAAAGCACCUCCCCACCCCAAAAAUAGCAAAAGAGCUGUGAGUCAUUUUCACUUUAGUGUGAAUGUGCCUUCCUGAUUUCGCCAAGGCUGUUUGGCCUAAUCAUUUUAAUGUAAUUCAGAUUAGAAUUUAAUAGCAGAAUGAGAGUCUCUGGAUAUCUUGGCUUCUUCCCUGAGAAUAACAAACUGGGAAUUGUUGGUCUAGACAUCAAGAGAACCAGAGACCUAUUGCUCAGAGAUGUUUGGGCUGUACAAUUGCUGUAGAUUUGGCAUUUGGAGCUGCCUUUUUUGAGCAAUGGCCUUCUCAGCCCAGGCUCUCUCGCUCUUUCCCUGUCUCCACUUGAACCAGGUGGACUCUUGCCCUCCACUCCUUCCGACUUGACGGUGAUACAGAGAACAUUCUCCAUCCUUCCGGUGAUUGCAUUCCUUCAUCUCUGUGGGGCCCCAGUGCAGAUGGAGCGGCUCUUGGGAGCAGCCUGGGCUUAUAGUGCAGCUCUCUGCUACCUGCAGCAGGCUGGUAUUCAGGGAGCUUGGAUGCACCACUGAUGGUUAUUGUAGAAAGAACUCCCUGACCUGGCCCACCCUGGCUCUUCUCUUGACUCCUGGAUCACAUGGUGUGCAUCUUGUAUGUAUCCUACCCCAGACCGGGAAUCAGCCAUUUCUCUUAGGAUUCCUGGUUUCUUCAAUGGGAACUGUUAUUUAGAGACCACAUUCUGAGCGCUGGUCCGUCAGGAUAUAACUUCAACUCCAAAACCUGACCGCUUCUCAGUGGCCCAGCCACCAUCAUGGCCCAGGGACAUCACCUGCUGCUAAGAUUAUUACAGUGGCCUCCUCACCGUUGUCUCUGUCUCCCCCGCUCUGGGCCCUGUGGUUUGUUCUCAGUACAGGAGCCAUCAGGCCCAGAAGAGCAAGGAUCUUCUCACCAUGACCAGACCAUUGCUUCUUCCUCUGCCAUGUGUUGAUGGCCUUGGAAGUAAGAGAUGAUGAGGGCUGUAUGGUACUUCCUUCCAUCAGGUACUUGCGAAGCACUUCCGGCUUGGACACCCACCAGCAGCAUAUGAACACGCUCAUUUCCCCACACUGAGAGAAACAUCUGAUACCAAACAACUUAAAAAUUUUGUCCAUCUGAAAAAGGAUUUUUGCAACUAAAGUACCAAAGAAGUGAAGAUGCUAAGGAAUUCUUUGGCUUUACAAGAUGAAUGCCAUAUAAAAUGAGGCCGUCUGACAACCAGAUUCCAUAUGGCAGUCAGAAAGUUCCAGCACAGUACCUCAGGCUUCAUCUAGGGAACACGUUUAAAGGUUUGGAAUUCCACUGACUCAGAGCCUGAUUUGUCUUGGAGGUAGACCUGUCAAGGUCUCAUCGGAGGAGCUGCUGGGGAAGUGGACCAGGAUCACAGCUGCCCAUUCUCUCACCCCACCUACCUUCUGCAGAGUGGCCCAUUUGUGCUUCAGGAGGAAGAGUACAGGAGCAGUGGUCAGCAUGCUGUGAACAUUACUUUCUGAGUGUGGGUGUGUCUCAAUAAAUGCUCCUAUCCACUUCAUUCCCUCUUAAUAGACCCAUCAAACAAGCGCUCAUUGUUUUCCAGUGCCGACCUAGGUAAACCAGUCAUCAUGUGCCCCAAUGUGUCAAAGAAAAUGCCUGCUUCCCAGAAAUUUUCCACUAAUGGGGAAAGAAGAUUUGUUCACACAGCCUAUUAUUGUAAACCAGCUCAUUCUUUGGCAAUCUGAAACCAAGACUGCACGUUUAGCCAGGCAGGUCUCUUCAAAGCAUGUCCUUGACCAUAUUGUCCAUUGCAUCAUGUCUUCUUUCUUGUUUUGUUUUAUCAUUUUUGUGAUGCUUUAAUGCCCAGUGCACAAACUGAAGCUAUGUGGCAUCUGUAUCACGGUGUAUUAGGGCUCCAAAAAAACAUGCAAUCCCUGAGCAGACAAUAAAUUUGAUUUUGCACAA